rnacentral:rRNA from 1 species
AGUCGAGCGGCAGCGGGUCCUUCGNGAUGCCGGCGAGCGGCGGACGGGUGAGUAAUGCCUAGGAAUCUGCCUGGUAGUGGGGGAUAACUCGGGGAAACUCGAGCUAAUACCGCAUACGUCCUACGGGAGAAAGCGGGGGAUCUUCGGACCUCGCGCUACCAGAUGAGCCUAGGUCGGAUUAGCUAGUUGGUGAGGUAAAGGCUCACCAAGGCGACGAUCCGUAGCUGGUCUGAGAGGAUGAUCAGCCACACUGGAACUGAGACACGGUCCAGACUCCUACGGGAGGCAGCAGUGGGGAAUACUGGACAAUGGGCGAAAGCCUGAUCCAGCCAUGCCGCGUGUGUGAAGAAGGUCUUCGGAUUGUAAAGCACUUUAAGUUGGGAGGAAGGGCAGUAAGUUAAUACCUUGCUGUUUUGACGUUACCGACAGAAUAAGCACCGGCUAACUUCGUGCCAGCAGCCGCGGUAAUACGAAGGGUGC